UGGAGGAUGAAGAUUUUCGGAUCGUAACUCCUGUCGAAUGGGACGAAUAGAUUGCGGGUUACAGCCCGCGAUCCUGACGGUACCGUUAAAGGAAACCCCGGCUAACUCCGUGCCAGCAGCCGCGGUAAUACGGGGGGGGUAAGCGUUGUUCGGAAUUACUGGGCGUAAAGGGCUCGUAGGCGGCCAACUAAGUCAGACGUGAAAUCCCUCAGCUUAACUGGGGAACUGCGUCUGAUACUGGAUGGCUUGGAUUCGGGAGAGGGAUGCGGAAUUCCAGGUGUAGCGGUGAAAUGCGUAGAUAUCUGGAGGAACACCGGUGGCGAAGGCGGCAUCCUGGACCGAUAUUGACGCUGAGGAGCGAAAGCCAGGGGAGCAAACGGGAUUAGAUACCCCGGUAGUCCUGGCCCUAAACGAUGAAUGCUUGGUGUAGCGGGUAUCGAUCCCUGCUGUGCCGAAGCUAACGCAUUAAGCAUUCCGCCUGGGGAGUACGGUCGUCAAGGCUGAAACUCAAAGGAAUUGACGGGGGCCCGCACAAGCGGUGGAGCAUGUGGUUCAAUUCGACGCAACGCGAAGAACCUUACCCAGGCUUGAACUGCGAGUGACCACGCCCGAAAGGGCGCUUCCGCAAGGACACUCGUAGAGGUGCUGCAUGGCUGUCGUCAGCUCGUGUCGUGAGAUGUUGGGUUAAGUCCCGCAACGAGCGCAACCCUUGUCUGCUGUUGCCAUCACGUUAUGGUGGGCACUCUGCAGAGACUGCCGGUGAUAAACCGGAGGAAGGUGGGGAUGACGUCAAGUCAGCAUGGCCUUUAUGUCUGGGGCUACACACGUGCUACAAUGGCCGGUACAAAGCGUCGCAAACU
rnacentral:rRNA from 1 species